UACGUAGGCAGCGAGCGUUGUUCGGAAUUACUGGGCGUAAAGAGUGUGUAGGCGGUGCUCCCAGUCUGUUGUGAAAUCUCCCGGCUUAACUGGGAGGGUGCAGCGGAAACUAGAGUGCUAGAGGGUGGGAGAGGUAAGCGGAAUUCCUGGUGUAGCGGUGAAACGCGUAGAUAUCAGGAGGAACACCUGUGGUGUAGACAGCUUACUGGACCACUUCUGACGCUGAGACACGAAAGCGUGGGUAGCAAACAGG
rnacentral:rRNA from 1 species